UUUAUGGAGAGUUUGAUCCUGGCUCAGGAUGAACGCUGGCGGCGUGCCUAAUACAUGCAAGUCGAGCGAACGGACGAGAAGCUUGCUUUUCUGAUGUUAGCGGCGGACGGGUGAGUAACACGUGGAUAACCUACCUAUAAGACUGGGAUAACUUCGGGAAACCGGAGCUAAUACCGGAUAAUAUUUUGAACCGCAUGGUUCAAAAGUGAAAGACGGUCUUGCUGUCACUUAUAGAUGGAUCCGCGCUGCAUUAGCUAGUUGGUAAGGUAACGGCUUACCAAGGCAACGAUGCAUAGCCGACCUGAGAGGGUGAUCGGCCACACUGGAACUGAGACACGGUCCAGACUCCUACGGGAGGCAGCAGUAGGGAAUCUUCCGCAAUGGGCGAAAGCCUGACGGAGCAACGCCGCGUGAGUGAUGAAGGUCUUCGGAUCGUAAAACUCUGUUAUUAGGGAAGAACAUAUGUGUAAGUAACUGUGCACAUCUUGACGGUACCUAAUCAGAAAGCCACGGCUAACUACGUGCCAGCAGCCGCGGUAAUACGUAGGUGGCAAGCGUUAUCCGGAAUUAUUGGGCGUAAAGCGCGCGUAGGCGGUUUUUUAAGUCUGAUGUGAAAGCCCACGGCUCAACCGUGGAGGGUCAUUGGAAACUGGAAAACUUGAGUGCAGAAGAGGAAAGUGGAAUUCCAUGUGUAGCGGUGAAAUGCGCAGAGAUAUGGAGGAACACCAGUGGCGAAGGCGACUUUCUGGUCUGUAACUGACGCUGAUGUGCGAAAGCGUGGGGAUCAAACAGGAUUAGAUACCCUGGUAGUCCACGCCGUAAACGAUGAGUGCUAAGUGUUAGGGGGUUUCCGCCCCUUAGUGCUGCAGCUAACGCAUUAAGCACUCCGCCUGGGGAGUACGACCGCAAGGUUGAAACUCAAAGGAAUUGACGGGGACCCGCACAAGCGGUGGAGCAUGUGGUUUAAUUCGAAGCAACGCGAAGAACCUUACCAAAUCUUGACAUCCUUUGACAACUCUAGAGAUAGAGCCUUCCCCUUCGGGGGACAAAGUGACAGGUGGUGCAUGGUUGUCGUCAGCUCGUGUCGUGAGAUGUUGGGUUAAGUCCCGCAACGAGCGCAACCCUUAAGCUUAGUUGCCAUCAUUAAGUUGGGCACUCUAAGUUGACUGCCGGUGACAAACCGGAGGAAGGUGGGGAUGACGUCAAAUCAUCAUGCCCCUUAUGAUUUGGGCUACACACGUGCUACAAUGGACAAUACAAAGGGCAGCGAAACCGCGAGGUCAAGCAAAUCCCAUAAAGUUGUUCUCAGUUCGGAUUGUAGUCUGCAACUCG
rnacentral:rRNA from 1 species